UACGAAGGGGGCUAGCGUUGCUCGGAAUCACUGGGCGUAAAGGGUGCGUAGGCGGGUCUUUUAAGUCAGGGGUGAAAUCCUGGAGCUCAACUCCAGAACUGCCUUUGAUACUGAGGAUCUUGAGUGUGGGAGAGGUGAGUGGAACUGCGAGUGUAGAGGUGAAAUUCGUAGAUAUUCGCAAGAACACCAGUGGCGAAGGCGGCUCACUGGCCCAUUACUGACGCUGAGGCACGAAAGCGUGGGGAGCAACAGG
rnacentral:rRNA from 1 species